CAUGCAGAAGGACUUAUCCAAAGAUGUUCAUCACAAGGAUCAUUACUGCGGGACAUUCGCAGAUGAAUGGGAUAAAGCUGCAGCAGAUGUUAGUCUUCCAAUCAGACCUUGAAAGCAGUCGCAUGUCUGUAGGUAAUGCGUAGCCUAAUGCAGUGGCUGUGAGCAGGAAGCCAAGCUGUAAAGGAGAGUGUAACACAUGCCAUCUUCAGGUCUUUUUAGCUGCGCAAGUGAACAGUUACCUGUCAUGCUUCAUUAGAUCAUUGGUCUUUUUCCUAGCUGAUCUGAAACACAAGUAGUUCAAUUAUGGCUUUUUUCUCAUAUAUCACUUUGAUUGCUUAACAGCUUUGUUAUUUGGCUUAGUAAUUUAUGAGAUUUUCUCCCAUUGUCUAAUUGUAGCCGUGCAAAAAGAUACCAGCAGUUGUUGCAAGAGGCGUAUUCAUCUUAAUGUUUGCCAUACCUGUUUUCCUUUCCUUCUUGGAAGAAGAUUGCAUGAACUAGUCCGUGGACCAUUUUCAGCUCCAGCCUGAUCCAAAACAAUAACAGCUUGCACAAAGAAUACAUCUGUGUUCAAAAAAAGGAAAAUGUACAAUUGGUUAAAUACCAUGGACUUUUGCAACCAUUAAAAGCAACAAAUAGUCACUUC